GAACUGCGAUAAGUAAUGUGAAUUGCAGAAUUCAGUGAAUCAUCGAGUCUUUGAACGCACAUUGCGCCCCCUGGCAUUCCGGGGGGCAUGCCUGUCCGAGCGUCAUUGCUGCCUUUCAAGCCCGGCUUGUGUGUUGGGUCGUCGUCCCCUCCGGGGGACGGGCCCGAAAGGCAGCGGCGGCACCGCGUCCGGUCCUCGAGCGUAUGGGGCUUUGUCACCCGCUCGAUAAGGACCGGCCGGGCGCCAGCCGGCGUCUCCAACCUUUUUUUCUCAGGUUGACCUCGGAUCAGGUAGGGAUACCCGCUGAACUUAAGC
rnacentral:misc_RNA from 1 species